UCGUGUUUGGGUCCCCUCGGGGGCCCGACAUCCCACCCUCAUGUUGUUACAAACACACCGUUGCUUCGGCGGGCCGGACGCGCGAGAGCGCGGCCGCCUGGCCCCCAAACGCCCGGAGAGCGUCCGCCGGAGUCAUACAAAACACUAGCCUUUGAACGAGAACGUCAGAGUAGAAUUACAAAAAUAAUUCA
rnacentral:misc_RNA from 1 species